UACGGGGGUGGCAAGCGUUGUUCGGAAUUACUGGGCGUCAAGGGCUUGUAGGUGGCCAACUAAGUCAAACGUGAAAUCCCUCGGCUUAACCGGGGAACUGCGUCUGAUACUGGAUGGCUUGAGUUUGGGAGAGGGACGCGGAAUUCCAGGUGUAGCGGUGAAAUGCGUAGAUAUCAGGAGGAACACCAAUGGCGAAGGCAGCACUCUGGGACGUGACUGACGCUGAGACGCGAAAGCGUGGGGAGCAAACAGG
rnacentral:rRNA from 1 species